rnacentral:snRNA from 1 species
UUGCUCAGGAAGCACGUAUACUGAAGUUGGAAUGAUGCAGAGACUAUUAGCAUGACCCCUGCACAAGUACGAUGCUCAAAUGCAGGAAGUGUUCCAUAUUAAA